GGAGCCCUCCCUGUACACUGUCAAGGCCAUCCUGAUUCUGGACAAUGACGGAGACCGACUCUUCGCCAAGUACUAUGACGACACCUACCCCAGUGUCAAGGAGCAAAAAGCCUUUGAGAAGAACAUUUUCAACAAGACCCAUCGGACGGAUAGUAGGUGAAAUCGCCCUGUUGGAAGGGCUGACAGUGGUCUAUAAAAGCAGCAUUGAUCUCUAUUUCUAUGUGAUCGGCAGCUCCUAUGAAAACGAGCUGAUGCUCAUGGCUGUUCUGAACUGCCUCUUCGACUCCCUGAGCCAGAUGCUGAGAAAAAACGUAGAAAAGCGAGCUUUGCUGGAGAACAUGGAGGGGCUCUUCUUGGCUGUGGAUGAAAUUGUAGA
rnacentral:lncRNA from 1 species